AACUGUGCCCCCGUUAACUCCUGUGUCUGAAAUUCAUUUUCUCAUUUCUCUCACCAUGUUGUCUCACUUUCUUGUAACUUGCCACAAAACAAACUUUUGGCAAGUAACUUGUGAAUAGAAGCGGCGAUUAGUUCCAACGUAGACUGCAACUAUGUACAAGUUGAACCAUGCAAUGCACAAAUUAGCCACAAACUAAUAGUGUAUAUGCAGUACUUCUUGUCCCCUUAACAGUACUGCAGACAAUUUUCUUAGAGAAAAAGGAAGAAGAACAGCAAGUGAUCCACGCGCCUAAAUAACUCACACUGUUGUUCGAUUAAAUACAGAGAACAAUACUGAGCCGUCAGAAAUGCAAAUGACAUUUUUUGAAGAUAUGUGCAAUAUCUUAGAUGAGGAUGAGAAGCAACUAGACAAUAUAUGCCAA